rnacentral:rRNA from 1 species
UACGUAGGGGGCAAGCGUUGUCCGGAAUCAUUGGGCGUAAAGAGCGCGUAGGCGGUCCGGUAAGUCCGCUCUGAAAGUCCGGGGCUCAACCCCGGGAGGCGGGCGGAUACUGCCGGGCUUGAGUACGGAAGAGGCGAGUGGAAUUCCUGGUGUAGCGGUGAAAUGCGCAGAUAUCAGGAGGAACACCAAUUGCGAAGGCAGCUCGCUGGGACGUUACUGACGCUGAGACGCGAAAGCGUGGGGAGCAAACAGG